UACAGAGGUCCCGAGCGUUGUCCGGAUUUAUUGGGCGUAAAGAGCGUGUAGGCGGCCAGGUAGGUCAGCUGUGAAAACUCGAGGCUCAACCUCGAGACGCCGGUUGAAACCAUCUGGCUAGAGUCCGGAAGAGGAGAGUGGAAUUCCUGGUGUAGCGGUGAAAUGCGCAGAUAUCAGGAAGAACACCCGUGGCUAAGGCGGCUCUCUAGUACGGUACUGACGCUGAGACGCGAAAGCGUGGGUAGCGAACAGG
rnacentral:rRNA from 1 species